AGUGAACGCUGGCGGUAGGCCUAACACAUGCCAGUCGAACGGCAGCACAGUAAGAGCUUGCUCUUACGGGUGGCGAGUGGCGGACGGGUGAGGAAUACAUCGGAAUCUACUUUUUCGUGGGGGAUAACGUAGGGAAACUUACGCUAAUACCGCAUACGACCUACGGGUGAAAGCAGGGGAUCUUCGGACCUUGCGCGAUUGUAUGAGCCGAUGUCGGAUUAGCUAGUUGGCGGGGUAAAGGCCCACCAAGGCGACGAUCCGUAGCUGGUCUGAGAGGAUGAUCAGCCACACUGGAACUGAGACACGGUCCAGGCUCCUACGGGAGGCAGCAGUGGGGAAUAUUGGACAAUGGGCGAAAGCCUGAUCCAGCCAUACCGCGUGGGUGAAGAAGGCCUUCGGGUUGUAAAGCCCUUUUGUUGGGAAAGAAAAGCAGCAGGUUAAUACCCCGCUGUUCUGACGGUACCCAAAGAAUAAGCACCGGCUAACUUCGUG
rnacentral:rRNA from 1 species